rnacentral:rRNA from 1 species
AGUGAACGCUGGCGGUAGGCCUAACACAUGCAAGUCGAACGGCAGCACAGUAAGAGCUUGCUCUUACGGGUGGCGAGUGGCGGACGGGUGAGGAAUACAUCGGAAUCUACUUUUUCGUGGGGGAUACGUAGGGAAACUUACGCUAAUACCGCAUACGACCUACGGGUGAAAGCAGGGGAUCUUCGGACCUUGCGCGAUUGAAUGAGCCGAUGUCAGAUUAGCUAGUUGGCGGGGUAAAGGCCCACCAAGGCGACGAUCCGUAGCUGGUCUGAGAGGAUGAUCAGCCACACUGGAACUGAGACACGGUCCAGACUCCUACGGGAGGCAGCAGUGGGGAAUAUUGGACAAUGGGCGCAAGCCUGAUCCAGCCAUACCGCGUGGGUGAAGAAGGCCUUCGGGUUGUAAAGCCCUUUUGUUGGGAAAGAAAAGCAGCAGGUUAAUACCCCGCUGUUCUGACGGUACCCAAAGAAUAAGCACCGGCUAACUUCGUG